rnacentral:rRNA from 1 species
UACGUAGGGUGCGAGCGUUGUUCGGAAUCAUUGGGCGUAAAGCGAGCGUAGGUGGUUUGCUAAGUCGGGUGUGAAAUCCCUGGGCUCAACCCAGGAAGUGCAUUCGAAACUAGCUGGCUAGAAGAUGGUAGAGGAAGGUGGAAUUCCAAGUGUAGAGGUGAAAUUCGUAGAUAUUUGGAGGAAUACCGGCGGCGAAGGCGGCCUUCUGGACCAUUCUUGACACUGAGACUCGAAAGCGUGGGUAGCAAACAGG